GGGUUGUUCAGUUUGCUGCUUAUAUUUUGGUCUACUGGAUUUUUUAUAAGAACAGAUUUAUCGUGGGGCACCUGGGUGGCUCAGUUGGUU